GGAGACGGAGUUUCACUCUUGUUGCUCAGGCUGGAGUGCAAUGGCAUGAUCUCACCUCAACCUCCGCCUCCCUCCCGGAUUCAAGCAGUUCUCCUGCCUCAGCCUCCCAAAUAGCUGGGAUUACAGGCGUGCACCAUGAUACCUGGCUAAUUUUGUAUUUUUAGUAGAGAAGUGGUUUCUCCAUGUUGGUCAGGCUGGUCUUGAACACCUCGGGUGAUCUGCUGGACUCAGCCUCCCAAUGUGCUGGGAUUACAGGCAUGCACCAUGAUUCCUGGCUAAUUUUGUAUUUUUAGUAGAGAAGGGGUUUCUCCAUGUUGGUCAGGCUGGUCUUGAACACCUCGGGUGAUCCGCCGGACUCAGCCUCCCAAUGUGCUGGGAUUAUUACAGGUGUGAACCACCGUGCCCGGCCUAGAAUGGAUUUUUUAAAGUGCUAUUCUUAGCAGAAUUUAAAUUUUCCUCAUUACCCGCUUGGAGUUAACAGCUAGUGGAAAUUGGGUGGUAGGGUGGGAAAUUAUGAGUUUAUCAAGUUGGAAAGGAACGCCUUAGUGCAAAGUUUAAUUAUUGAUGAAGAUUACUAUUACUAUGAUUAAAAACCCUCCUAGUGAAAGCUGUGUUCUUCUGUGACCUGGAUUUAAAUGUAUCUUGGCACUCGAGCUUAAUGAUGACUGUUUUUUUUGAUUGCUUGAAGCAAUGUGAAAAACACAUUUCACCGGCUCUGAAAGCUCUUGAGUUGCCAUUUGAAAGAAAUCUUAGAAUACUUUGCAGUUACUUAAAGUCAGAAUUUUAAAGGAAGGGGAAAUGCUGGUAUAUAACAUUGGUUUCUUUAAUAGGGAAUGGGUACUGUUCAAAAAGGAAUGCCCCACAAGUGUUACCAUGGCAAAACUGGAAGAGUCUACAAUGUUACCCAGCAUGCUGUUGGCAUUGUUGUAAACAAACAAGUUAAGGGCAAGAUUCUUGCCAAGAGAAUUAAUGUGCGUAUUGAGCACAUUAAGCACUCUAAGAGCCGAGAUAGCUUCCUGA
rnacentral:lncRNA from 1 species